GGGCAUGUGCCCUGACCAGGAAUUGAACCUGUGACCUCCUGGAUCAUAGGUCAAUGCUCAACUGCUGAGCCACGCUGGCUAGGCCAUAGACGUAUUUUUAAGUGGAUUCUGGCUUUUUGUAAUGGAGAUUGUCCAGCACACACAGGAGUAAAGAGAACAGCCCAGUGAGCCCCUGCCCUGGUCCCCCAGCAUCAGUAAUUGCCAACAUUUCUUCAUUCUUCUUUCACCUCCCUGCCCCCUUCCAUUUGUGUCUCCCCUGCUCAAGUCUUUGGAAGCAAGCCCCAGACUUCCUGGCUGUAUGAAGCGGUUACGGUUAGUUUUCCAAAUGCGGACGGCUGUAGAGAGCUGGGGGAACUUGGGGAACAGGCUGUUUCCUGGGCUGUUGUGUCUGCAGAAGUGUGCACGGGCCACAGGACCUUCAGAAUUGUGUCUGAGCCUUGCAGGUGUUCCUAGGUGUCCAGUGUACCUGGGGGCAGCUCACCUGCCAGGGUUGUGGGGCUGCAUGUGCUCAGUGCUGGAAGGUGGGGGGGUCGUGGCGGGGAAGUGGCAUGUCUGGGAGGUGAGUGGGGGGCCUCUGAAAGCUGCUGUCCCCCACUCCCCAGGUAAAACAGAACACAGACCCCACCCUUUCCUGGGAGUGUGAGCAGGAGGCAGGAGGGCCUCCGGGGCUCAGCAGGCGCCUGUGUGGCCUGAAAGAUACAGUGGGAGGCUGGGGGGACCCAGGUCUGCAGCAUGUUUAGGUGGGAUGGUAGCCAGUCAGCCUGGACAGUGCUCUUCAUUCCUCCGUUGCCUUGACACCUGUCUGUCCGUCUUUCUUUUAGGCAACUGAUGGCACAGGAACCACUGGAAAAGCUGGGGUUUGGAGAUUUGAUGGAUGGAAAAGCAAACAGACGCUAAAUGUUCCUGGGAGACCCCAGCUGGUCAUCUGGGACAGAGCUGUGUGCUGACCUGUCACCCCGAUGGUCAUUUCUGGGUGGUGUGACUGAGAAAGGGGCGUCCGCAUGCCCGCAGAACACCUUGGGUGUUGCCCACAGCUAGGAAGCAGCUAAUCCUCUGAGCCUCCCGGGUUAUUUGGGGAAAUUAUCCUUCCUUUAGAUUCUCAUUUCCCUCAAGAGUGUUAAGUUCUGACUUUAAAUCCAUGUGUGACGGGGUCCCUGGGGAGGCCUGUGACGGUGAUGACCGAGGGCCCUGUAAUGUGGGGGCCUCUUCUUGUGACACUGGAUGUUCGUGAAUUUCAGAAAACUGUUCUCUAGCAAAGUGGUUUUCUCUUUUUUUUUUUUUAAACAAUAAAAAUGCAGGACCCAA